UACGUAGGUGGCAAGCGUUGUCCGGAAUUACUGGGCGUAAAGGGCGCGUAGGUGGCCUUCUAAGUCGAACGUGAAAUCUUUCGGCUCAACCGGAAAAUAGCUUCCGAUACUGGCGGGCUGGAGGGAGGUAGGGGCGACUGGAACUUCCGGUGGAGCGGUGAAAUGCGCAGAUAUCAGGAGGAACACCGAUGGCGAAGGCAGUGGGCUGGGCCGGCACUGACGCUGAGGAGCGAAAGCGUGGGGAGCGAAUGGG
rnacentral:rRNA from 1 species